rnacentral:rRNA from 1 species
AUGACCAUCGACUUCCUCUGCGCGCGCCUCCUCUCCGAGUGCUCCAUCUCCCGCGCCGCCAAGGACCACACCGACCAGCUCGCCAACCGGGUCGCGGAGCUGGAGGAGCAGCUCCGGGCAGUGACGGCCCAUCGCCGGGAGGCGGAGCAGGCCACCACCGAGGUGCUCACCAUCCUCGACUCGCAGGGUUUCUUCGACGCCACCGAUUCCGGUUCCGACGAUGACGGCGCCGGCGGCACCCUUGAGGCCCCCGGCCACAGGAGAGCACUGGAGAGAAGGCACGGGAUAUUUUCCACCCCGGUCGAUCCAGGCACGACAUCGGAUAGGACAGAGCAGGGGAGGGCCAAGAGGCCAGUGGUGUGGGGUGGAGCAGCGAGGCCGAAGACCGGGCAGCGGACGCCUCACAGGGUGGAGGAGUGGCCGGCGAUAGGGAAAAGCAGCAUCUUCAUGGAUGAGAUCCUGACGGCUGAAGAUGGUGCGCACGGGAGGAGCUUGGAAGAUGUCAAGGGGCGCCGUGAGGAGUGGAGGAUCGAGGUUGUGGGUUGCCAGCUUCAAAUUUUGGUUGAGCACUUCUUCAAGAAUCUUGUUGAGGUGUCUGUUUCCCCUCUUUGUGUCAUGAAUGAUUGUGAUGGCUGCAGGGUCUCCGCAAGGAGUUGA